CAGAAAGUGGAAGUGCUCCUGGAGGGAUCGCACAAACGAAACGUAUCUGUUUCUCUCUGAAGCACACCAAUCUGAUUGAUCUUCAAUAAAAUCCUCAUCUGUCCAUUCCUUGACAAAGCAGGCCACCUCUCUCUCUCUCCCUUCACACACACACACACACACACACAGCCGCACACAGACGCACGCAAGGCGAUCUAUACAAGGACACAAGUCACGUAGCUCGUUUACGCGGGCUUUUGUUGGGAUCGUCGUUUCGUUUUCCUUCUCGUCUUCUCGUUUCGCCUGGUUGUUUUCCUUUUGUGAGCACAGGCGUUGACCUGCAUCUUCACCGGUGACGCGUCUGCUGCUUUGUUGCUCUUUGUAGUUUUCGUAUCGCGUCGUCUUCGCUCAUCCUUUUCGCGUCUGUUUCGGCCCCCCGUCUAUUGUACGAUUUCAUCGUUUUCUCUUACAGCGCGAUGGGGUCCUCGAGCUCAACGUUGGAGACGGCCAAGCUUGUCCGGAUGCUCCUCUCUGAGGAUGCAGCCUCUCCUGAGUCGCUGAGUCAGCUUCUUAACAUGACCAUGACAGAGGAGGAAACGAGCCGGAUCUUUACAGUGGAGAAAGUUCGUCAGCUGCGGCACCUCUACACGCGCAACUUCGCAGCCUUGCUGUACCGCUGCAUUGGCGCCAUCUCGGCGGUGGCCGUGAAGCGGCACGAGAUCAACACCAGCACCAACCCCCCCAGUGCACUUCUCACGACGGAGGUGAUGACGCAGUACCACUCCGCGCUGCGCAUCCUGCUCUGCAUCCUGCCCAUAGCACUUGAAAACGGGGCAACACCGCUUGAGGAUGCGGCGGAUGCGUCCCCGAAGAGCAAAGAUCCAGCGGCCCCUGCAGGAGCAGACGAUGCCACGCCACCACCAGCAGCCAUGACCCGCUCACGGACGGCAGCCACAGCGCACUUCCAGCAGCUCUUUUUUGUUGAAGGGAAGACCUGUGACGAUGCGAAUCCGGAGGACACCUUUCCGUUGCUGCCGCGGCAGAACGCGCAUCUCUCCCCAACACAGCUGUGCACCGAACCGCUUCCGCUGGGGUCGUUCAUGGUGUGGUCGUUGGUCGAGUGCUGCUUUGUGCGUGGUCUGACCUUGCCGGAGUAUCCGGUGCUGCCAACGGAAGCCAGCGUCAGCAUCACGCAUACGGAGGUAGACACAGGACUGAUGUGGUGCCCGGGGCUUGCUUCCGAAGAUCCUAUCCAAGCUCUUGCGAUCAACACGAGUACGCCGAGCUUUACCUGGGCGACGCCACGACUUCCUCGACGGCGGAAAGCACUCCUCGAAGUUCUUUUUGUGGCACUGUCCUCGCUGAUCUACCAUGAAGCCGGUUUCCGAGAUACCAUCUUCCUGGAGCCGCUUCUGUCCACCUCGACGGUGCCGUUGACGCCCACACUCUCCAUCUCAAUGCUCAACACUAUUCUUCAGUUCGUCCCGUAUGGAUAUUUGCCCUACACAAGUCACCUCGGUGUCGAGGAAAAGGAACUGGUAGUGGCGAGCGCCCGACUGCUCAACGCAACCUUGUGCUACAUGGGUGUCCCGCUGGAUCCCAUCCUUCCGUCCGAGAGGCAGCACUCCGUGGCAGAUGGCGCCGGCCCGUCACUGGAUCAGCGAAUUUCACAGGCGAGUGAUAUGCGCGUCAGUGAGCCGGUGAACUCUACGGUGGCAGACGGGCCAGAGACAAGCACCCUUAGCCACCGGAAUGGAAGCCAUCCCAUCUGCGAUUCAGGGGGGUCGUCACGAACUGCCUCAAGCCGCACCGGCGCUCUCUGUGACGCUCUCGUAUCAAACACAUUGCACUCGCCGCCCGACAGCAUCGAGCCUUCUACGACGCCGCUGCCGCAUAUCGGACCGCCGCGCUUCGUGCACAGUGUGCGCAAGGCGCUCCGGGACAUCACCCUAACUGAGGCAAAGGCACUCGUGCAGCGCAUGCAGGUCAUCCUUGGUGUGAAUGUGUACUCCAGUCAGACGUACCUGCCUGUUUCGCAGGGCUGGUUUGCCUCCUUGGAUGACUUCAUGGUGCUCUUUUGGAAGAUACUGGACUUGUCACCAGCGUGUCUGGCACAGUUCGGUACAAGCUCCCACGCCUUGGACUACGUCAUCCCCAUUCUCGAUUACGCCCUCGCCGUGCGUCGCAGCCCGCUCUACACGUACCAGUUCCAGCUAAUGCUCUUCGUGCUGACUCGACUCUCUGAGGUGCGGGGGUUCGUGCUGCAGUGCAACCAAGUGUGCAGCGCAGCCCUGCCCUUUCGCUUUCCGAAGAUGUCUCCGGCGCGCACGUACAAUGGCCUUAUCGUGCUUGCCUUGUGUCUUGUAAUGGAGAUGAAAGACCUGCAGGCACUCGUUCCGCUUUUCCCUUCGUGCACCGUGGUGCUGGCGAACAUGGCGCCGUUUAUCACCUCUCUCGGACGAGAGCCGUCCAUCAAGCUGGUUUCCGUUUUCGCCCAAGUCACCUACCGCUGUUUGCGCAGCACCUUACCAAGUUCGCCUGGCAACAGCACAACAGGGGAUACUUUAGGCGGUUCGUUUACUUCGGCGGGGACGUCAAACAACCUUGUGCACCAAUCUCAAAUGGUGAAUCUGUGCGAAGCCAUUGCAAGUUUGCUGCAAUACCAAGCCAAUGGCUCCCUGUACCUGAUUGCUGCCCUUGUGGACCACCGCGCAGUCGUGCGAGAGGCGAAGGACGCCUACGUGGUGCAGCGCACCAAGGAACUCGCAGUGGGGCUUCCUUUGCCGUUUCUUAUCAACACGCUCGACGCCGCGGUAGCGGUGGCGCUUCCGGUGCUGGAGAGCACCGAUGCGCUGCGGAAGAUCACCAAGUACUAUGUGGACACAACGUCUGAGGCGACCGUGAAUAAUGGAACAGCUGCCGCUGAGACAACGAGAGCGUUUGCACUUCAGGUGGGGAUGGGUGAGUCGGGUGCUGGGCUGGCGGCCAGCGACGAGGCUGUUGAUCGACUGCGGUCAGUGACGUUGGUGGGCGUGCUCCCUACACCGCACAGCAUCGUUGUUCGAAAAUUUCAAUCCACUAAGAGCGUCGAGCAGUGGACGGCGACGACGUUCUGGACAAGCGCGUACAUUCACUCGCAAGCUGGGGUGCUGGGCGACCGAACUUCGGUAAAGCUGGUGCAGUUUGUGUGAAGAGAGCCUAUGUGCGCGUUGCAUGCAGCGAAAAGGAAACGAAAAACAAAAGGUGAAAGACAUGCGUCGGUGAAAUAGGUGUCCUUGUGUCCGUACAUGCACACACACAAAAAUGUGUGUGUGUGUGCAUGUGCGACAGUUCGAGAAAGCGUGCGUGGGAAGGUGAUGAUGCUGAGCGUGAGUUCUGCUGUUGCUGCGGCACUAAAGCUCUCUCUGUGUCUGUCUGUAUAUGUGCAUGUCUCUGUUCCUUCCUCUUCUCGACCCUUCCGUUCCACAUGUGCCCUCUCCCCUCCCUCCCUCCCUCCCUCCCUCCGUCUUUCUCUCUUCUGAUGGCUGUGUUGCUGUGUGUUGCGCUUACCUCUUAUUCCUUUUUUCUUCUCGGGCGCUCUGUUUGUCUGUCUGUCUCUCUCUCUACCUCCCCCCUCAUGUCUUCACCUCUCUGUAGGUGUGCGUCUCUCUCUCUCUGUGUUGUUUCGGAUUGUCCUCAGGGUGUGAACGCCGAGAAGAAGAGCACGUGAGAAGGACAGGUAACAUCCUGAAAAC
rnacentral:misc_RNA from 1 species